rnacentral:rRNA from 1 species
GGCCAAGUUUUUUAGGGCACACGGUGGAUGCCUUGGCAUCAGGAGCCGAUGAAGGACGUGGGAGGCUGCGUUAAGCCUCGGGGAGUCGCCAACCAGACGUUGAUCCGGGGAUGUCCGAAUGGGGAAACCUGGCACCAGUCAUGUGGUGUCGCCGCCGUCUGAAUGUAUAGGGCGGUUGGUGGUAACGCGGGGAAGUGAAACAUCUCAGUACCCGUAGGAGAAGAAAACAAUAGUGAUUCCGUGAGUAGUGGUGAGCGAAAGCGGAGGAGGCUAAACCGGGCGCGUGUGAUAGCCGGCGGGCGUUGCGUGUCCGGGGUUGUGGGACCUUGCUUGCAGUUUCUGCCGGGGCUGCGGGGAGUGAUAAAUCUGUGGGGUAGCCGAGCCUGCUGGGAUGCAGGGCCGUAGACCGUGAUAGCCGGGUAGGCGAAACUUUGCAGACUUCCUUGUGGGUGUUCCCAAGUAGCACGGGGCUCGAGGAAUCCUGUGUGAAUCUGCCAGGACCACCUGGUAAGCCUGAAUACUUCCUGAUGACCGAUAGUGGACCAGUACCGUGAGGGAAAGGUGAAAAGCGCCCCGGUGAGGGGUCGUGAAAUAGUACCUGAAACCGUGUGCCUACAAGCCGUGGGAGCGUAAUCCGCCUUCGGGUGGGUUGUGAUGUGACCGCGUGCCUUUUGAAGAAUGAGCCUGCGAGUCAUGGUGUGUGGCGAGGUUAACCCGUGUGGGGGAGCCGUAGCGAAAGCGAGUCUGAAUAGGGCGUUUUUAGUCGCAUGCUGUGGACCCGAAGCGGAGUGAUCUACGCAUGGGCAGGUUGAAGCGCGGGUAAGACCGUGUGGAGGACCGAACCCACCAGGGUUGAAAACCUGGGGGAUGAUCUGUGUGUAGGGGUGAAAGGCCAAUCAAACUCCGUGAUAGCUGGUUCUCCCCGAAAUGCAUUUAGGUGCAGCGUUGCGUGGUCCUUGCCGGAGGUAGAGCACUGGUUGGCUGAUGGGCCUUACCGGGUUACUGACGUCAGCCAAACUCCGAAUGCCGGUGAAGUGUAGCGUGGCAGUGAGACUGCGGGGGAUAAGCUUCGUAGUCGAGAGGGAAACAGCCCAGAUCGCCGACUAAGGCCCCUAAGGGUGUGCUAAGUGGGAAAGGAUGUGGAGUCGCAGUGACAACCAGGAGGUUGGCUUAGAAGCAGCCAUCCUUGAAAGAGUGCGUAAUAGCUCACUGGUCAAGUGAUUCCGCGCCGACAAUGUAGCGGGGCUCAAGCACACCGCCGAAGUCGCGGCACUGUGUGUGAUCUUGUAUCGCAUGUGGUGGGUAGGGGAGCGUCGUGCGUGCUGUGAAGCGUUCUGGUGAUGGGGCGUGGAGUGCGUGCGAGUGAGAAUGCAGGCAUGAGUAGCGAUUCGAGGGUGGGAAACCCUCGCGCCGAAUGACCAAGGGUUCCUGGGGCAGGCUGAUCCGCCCAGGGUAAGUCGGGGCCUAAGGCGAGGCCGACAGGCGUAGUCGAUGGAUGACGGGUUGAUAUUCCCGUACCCGCGGGUUCGCGCCAAUACUGAGGCCGGUGAUACUAAGACUUGCCUGAUCCAUUUCCGGCUUCGGCUGGGGUGGUGAGGGGGGUUGGCCUGAUCUGGUAGUAGGUAAGCGAUGGGGUGACACAGGAGGGUAGCCCAGCCCAGGCGAUGGUUGUUCCUGGGGUAAGCAUGUAGGGAUGGAGCGCAGGUAAAUCCGUGUUCCCGUUAGGAAGUCCUGAGAUGUGAUGCCGAGCCGAUUGUGGCGAAGUGGGUGAUCCCAUGCUGUCGAGAAAAGCCUCUAGCGAGUGGACCGGCGGCCCGUACCCUAAACCGACUCAGGUGGUCAGGUAGAGAAUACCGAGGCGAUCGGGUGAACUGUGGUUAAGGAACUCGGCAAAUUGCCCCCGUAACUUCGGGAGAAGGGGGGCCUCUGCUGGUGAUGAUACUUGCUGUCUGAGCUGGUGGGGGUCGCAGUGGCCAGGGGGAAGCGACUGUUUACUAAAAACACAGGUCCGUGCGAAGUCGUAAGACGAUGUAUACGGACUGACGCCUGCCCGGUGCCGGAACGUUAAGGGGACCGCUCAACUCAGAUUCGUCUGGGUGAAGGUGAGAACUUAAGCGCCGGUAAACGGCGGUGGUAACUAUAACCAUCCUAAGGUAGCGAAAUUCCUUGUCGGGUAAGUUCCGACCUGCACGAAUGGCGUAACGACUUCCCCGCUGUCUCAACCGCAGACCCGGCGAAAUUGCAGUACGAGUAAAGAUGCUCGUUACGCGCAGCAGGACGGAAAGACCCCGGGACCUUCACUACAGCUUGACAUUGGUGUUUGGGACGGCUUGUGUAGGAUAGGUGGGAGACGGUGAAGCUGUCACGCUAGUGGUGGUGGAGUCAUUGGUGAAAUACCACUCUGGUCGUUUUGGAUGCCUGAACCCGCGCCCGUGGAUCCGGGUGGGGGACAGUGUCUGGUGGGUAGUUUAACUGGGGCGGUUGCCUCCUAAAGAGUAACGGAGGCGCCCAAAGGUUCCCUCAGCCUGGUUGGCAAUCAGGUGGUGAGUGUAAGUGCACAAGGGGGCUUGACUGUGAGACCGACGGGUCGAGCAGGAGCGAAAGCUGGGACUAGUGAUCCGGCGCCGGCGUGUGGAAGCGGUGUCGCUCAACGGCUAAAAGGUACCCCGGGGAUAACAGGCUGAUCUUCCCCAAGAGUCCAUAUCGACGGGAUGGUUUGGCACCUCGAUGUCGGCUCGUCGCAUCCUGGGGCUGGAGUAGGUCCCAAGGGUUGGGCUGUUCGCCCAUUAAAGCGGUACGCGAGCUGGGUUUAGAACGUCGCGAGACAGUUCGGUCCCUAUCCGCUGCGCGCGCAGGAGACUUGAAAGGAGCUGUCCCUAGUACGAGAGGACCGGGACGGACGAACCUCUGGUGUGCCAGUUGUACCGCCAGGUGCAUGGCUGGUUGGCUACGUUCGGCAGGGAUAACCGCUGAAAGCAUCUAAGCGGGAAGCUCGCCUUGAGAUGAGGUCUCCCACCCCGUUGUGGGGGUAAGGCUCCCAGGAGAUGACUGGGUUGAUAGGCCGGAGGUGUACACGCUGUAAGGCGCCCAGCCGACCGGUACUAAUAGGCCGAGGACUUGACCAC